rnacentral:rRNA from 1 species
AGCGAACGCUGGCGGCAGGCUUAACACAUGCAAGUCGAGCGGGCACCUUCGGGUGUCAGCGGCGGACGGGUGAGUAACGCGUGGGAACGUGCCUUCUGGUUCGGAAUAACCCUGUGAAACUAGGGCUGAUACCGGAUACGCCCUUUUGGGGAAAGGUUUACUGCCGGAAGAUCGGCCCGCGUCUGAUUAGCUAGUUGGUGGGGUAACGGCCUACCAAGGCGACGGUCAGUAGCUGGUCUGCGAGGAUGAUCAGCCACACUGGGACUGAGACACGGCCCAGACUCCUACGGGAGGCAGCAGUGGGGAAUAUUGGACAAUGGGCGCAAGCCUGAUCCAGCCAUGCCGCGUGAGUGAUGAAGGCCUUAGGGUUGUAAAGCUCUUUUAUCCGGGACGAUAAUGACGGUACCGGAGGAAUAAGCCCCGGCUAACUUCGUGCCAGCCGCCGCCGUAA